rnacentral:rRNA from 1 species
UGCAGUCGAACGAAGGCUUCGGCCUUAGUGGCGCACGGGUGCGUAACGCGUGGGAAUCUGCCCCUGGGUACGGAAUAACAGUGAGAAAUUACUGCUAAUACCGUAUGAUGACGUAAGUCCAAAGAUUUAUCGCCCAGGGAUGAGCCCGCGUAGGAUUAGCUUGUUGGUGAGGUAAAGGCUCACCAAGGCGACGAUCCUUAGCUGGUCUGAGAGGAUGAUCAGCCACACUGGGACUGAGACACGGCCCAGACUCCUACGGGAGGCAGCAGUGGGGAAUAUUGGACAAUGGGCGAAAGCCUGAUCCAGCAAUGCCGCGUGAGUGAUGAAGGCCCUAGGGUUGUAAAGCUCUUUUACCCGGGAAGAUAAUGACUGUACCGGGAGAAUAAGCCCCGGCUAACUCCGUGCCAGCAGCCGCGGUAAUACGGAGGGGGCUAGCGUUGUUCGGAAUUACUGGGCGUAAAGCGUACGUAGGCGGCUUUGUAAGUUAGAGGUGAAAGCCUGGUGCUCAACACCAGAACUGCCUUUAAGACUGCAUCGCUUGAACGUCGGAGAGGUGAGUGGAAUUCCGAGUGUAGAGGUGAAAUUCGUAGAUAUUCGGAAGAACACCAGUGGCGAAGGCGGCUCACUGGACGACUGUUGACGCUGAGGUAC